UGCAGCUCGCUUGCUUGGUUGCGACCUGCCCUUUCACCGAAGGAUCACAUCUCCAUGCACGACAAGGCUGCCGACACGCUUCGUCAGACACCGACAGGCACAGCACAAGCACAUUAUACAAGCGUACCCGAGAACGUCAUACCUAUCGACGCGGGCACCGUAGCAAACACAUCCAUCGUAUGCACACGCGCACACACGCUUUCUACUCUUCCUUUUCCCCGGCGACCUGAUGCAUCUUUGAGGCUGCAGUGCAGCGAGUAGAAAACCAAGCUACCACCCCCGCAGAGGGGCCUUGUCGUCGGUGAGGACCUCACCAAAAGACCUCAGCGCGUCUUUGUGCUUAUGUGUGUAUGGUUUCGUUCGAAGCGCCGCUUCCCCGGCUCCGCAAGAGAAGCACACACACAAGCUCACACGCCUUAUAGCGAUGAGCAACUCUUCUCUCUCCGUUAACCCGACGCCGCCGCCGCACGAUGCUGAGGUAUCAGUGAUGAAGAAAGAUGACGAUGACACCACGCCGCAGCUUCUUGAGAGCUCACUCGCCGCGUCGCGGUCGCCAGCGCCGCUGCCGGCACUUCCACCUCCGCCAAUUGUGGCGCAGAUGAUGAACCCUGCGGUGGCGCCACCGUCCCAAGCUGUUCAAACCUCGUCGGCCGCGCCAAUCACACAGCCGCGCUUGCAUCACUGGUCACAGCUUCUAGGGGCUCCGACAGGGAUGUCACCCGCCUUCGACGGCCGUCAGUCACGCGCAUGCGGGAAACCCUUUCGUUCUCGUCGGCCUUGAGUGACCUGCCUGUGGUGCCAGCGAUCCCGGUCCCCGACAACGCCGUCUCUUCCGUUACUCCGCCACCGCUUGCGAGCUCGCAGCAGAAUGCCUCGCCCUCAGUGGACCUCGGUGCGCUUCCAGUAACGGGUUCGGAAACGUGCCCGCCCGUCCACAGCCCUCCAUCUUCCCAGUAGUGCCUUCUGCGUCGCCUCUCGCUGAAGACACGUCUCCGACGCUUACGCCGCCCCUCGAGGCGGCAGCGCUGUCGUUGCCUGCUCUGCCGCCGCCUCCAGCUCUACCACCAACGUCCACGCACACCGACGACGCGGCUCCUGUGAAAAUACCUUUGUACCCAUCGCAUCCGACCGCUGCAGCGCUCGCAACGCCAUCAUGCGUGGAAGGAGUGCGUUCGAUGGAUACCACCACCUCUGCGGCUCCGGCAAACCUCCCUCACGCCGUCAUAUCACUCCUGCCGGUUCCUUCGGCACCUGCAGUCGUCGUGCCAGCGUCGCCGCUGCGGCCGCUGUCCGCGAGUGUCACGCCUGCGUCGCUGGUAGAUACUCCUGCGCUUGCGGCGGCCGUCACAACUAUGCCAUCACCUGUCACGAAUAGUCGGCCACAAUACCUUCACUCCCAGCGACGGACUUUGGAAGCAGCGGCGCGCGAUUUGCUCUCCGCCCGCAAUGAACCAAAGGACCUUGUGAUUUGCUGCACAUCAACCUCCUCGUGCGGAGGUAGCAGUGACAGGAGCAGCACAGGUGGCGACAGCGGCUGCGUGAGGCGUACAACGCGCAUCAGUCAAACUCGCGCCCGAGGAAGGCGGCGCCAGCGGCGCGGUGGUGCUCACGCGAAAGCCGCUGCGAAGCCAGUCUCCUCGCGCCGGCGUCGGAAGACCCCCUCCUCCCAUGGCGCAUUGCCGAAGGUACAGCGGCCGCCUGCUGCACGUCUCUUUGAGGGCGAAGGCCAACGGGGGCCGUGGUUGUCGUCGGCGUUGCGAGAGAAGACGUCCAUGCCAUCGCAGAGCACAACCACACGGGCGCCGUAUGGUGACACCAAGCGGAGAAAAAAGGGUCGUGGUGAUCGAACUAGUCGGGGCUGUGGAAACACAGUGGCCACGGAUGCAGCGGGCAUGGAUGGGGCGGCGCCUGCCGCUUCGGCCGGAGGUGGUGCCUCACCAACCGUGGGGGACGGGUCUGACGCACCCCUACUCUUCACGAGCCCUGCAGCGCGCUUGCAUGCAGCGUACCAAAACAGCACAAAAAACAAAGGGCUCACAAAAGCAGAGGCGAGCCGACUGACGCAGAGAUCGUUCCUGGGGAGCACGGACGCUGGACGACGGCACAAGACGAAUAGGUCGAGUGACGUGAUCGCUGCCGAUGAUGGCGAUGACACUGGCGGCACCGGUGGCGUGGGUACGGAGCUCGCGGUGCAAUUCCGCGCCACGGGUGCUUUCAACGACGAGGACGAAUGGGCACGACCAUGGCACACCGGCAGCAGUGACGUCCGCAGUUGCCAAAGAGGGGGGAGCGCUGAAAGCACCACGUCGUCGAAGCUAGCCGCUGACAACGCAUCCGACGAGCAUGGCGUUGUGUUGGUCUUGACAAUACGCGGUAUGAGCCCUCUGCACGCCGACGCCGGCGUUGUGCAUCCCCUGGUGCGCGCGUGGGUCGUGAGCUGUGCGACGGGGCGCAGCCUGGUUCAGGCAUCCACCUCUGUCCCCUGCGCCGUGACACAUCCGUUUGAUCUCCGCGCACACAAGACGCGCGCGCCGUGGUGGAACGCGCAGCUGGCUCUGCGGCUGAGUGCAGAACAAAUGCGCACCGCGGCGGAGGACGCGAUGCUUCUGCUGGAAGUCCUGGACUUUGGCAACGAGACCAUCCACGGCUUUCCACUUAUGCGUGAGGGGCUUUAUCCCAUCUGCUGGGGAUUUCUGAUGUUGCGCGGCUGCGCCGGUCGCUCGAACCUGCUCGCGGCAGACGACUUGCAUGUGCAGCUUUACCGCUACCCUUCUCGCACGCCGUGGUACCUGUCUCUGCUUAGCGCGCUGAUCCCCGUCUCAUGGUCCACGGCGGGCGCGGCAUUUGAACCGCAUGAUGCAAGUGCAGCCCGCUUCUGCAGCAGCGGCCCCAGAUCCUCCAUCGCAAACGACGUGCCAACCAUCUACACCGUGUUUGCAAACGCAAACACCCGCAAGAUUCCGUACGAGGGCUGCAUCGUGCUCCGAGUACGUCAGACGAGCAACACCGCCUUCGUUCCUGACACGACGGAGAUGCUCCUCUACGAGGAAUACCUCCUCUCCAUGCUGGCGGCCGAUGGUGGGAGUGUCUCGGUGCCGCGCUCCUCCCGGUAUGCUUGCGCAGCCGCCAAUGACGAGGUGUCGCUGGGCCGGAUGAGAGAGGAAGACUGCGUCUGCGGGGCAGCGAUUCCAGCGAGCCCCUGGUCCACGAUAGCCCUCACCGAAAACUACUACCGAAUGGACGGCGAGCGGUCAUUGCUGCCGCACGAGAUUCUGCAAACGACCGCAGUUCUGGGGGUGGUCACGUGCGUCUCCUUCGCCCAUAGCGGCUCCUUCGUCGCGCUCGGCGUCUGUCGUCACCUCCAGCACGUGGUUGAGCUGCGUAAUCCCCUGCUCCCUGAGAUGGCCGUUGUUGCCUGCCUUGUCGGUCACACCGGCCACGUCCACCGUGUCGUGUUUCAGAAGGAGGACAAGUACCUGCUCUCGUGCUCGUCUGACGGGACGGUGCGUGUCUGGCAGCCCAGAUCGUCGGACGGCGUCCUCACUCCUGAACCGAGCGCAGGGCCUGAAAGCAUGCAGUGCGUGUGCACGUUACCACACGGCUUUCCGGUGUAUACGGCAGUGUUCCACCAGGGCAAGAUAAUUGCUGGCGGCUUCAGCGAUCAGCUCUUCGUCUGGGAUUACGAGCACACGAUCCAGGGGGAGAUGGAAUCGAUGAUGACGACAGGCAACACGACGCUGCGUUCCAUCACCACAUUCACUCCAGCGCACCUCACAAGAGCCCCUCCCACGCAUUCGCCGCGCUCAACUCUGGCGGUUCUCGGGCAGCUUGUGCAGCGGGUCGACACGGCCGGCGCUGCGGCGGCGCGGGAGUGCACGCCGACUAUGACGCUCAGCCUUGCCUCGAACGAGCGCAGCAAUCGAGUAUGGUCCGUCCACGCGAACGGCUCUGUGGUGUGCUGGCGCGCCACCACAGAGACUGCGAGCCACGGCGGGGGCGACAGUCUGUGGCAAAUGUCGACGCGACACACGGCGGACUGCAGCGGCGCGGCAGAGGUGCAGGUGAAGGGCGGAUACGCCAUUGUGACCUGCGGAUGUGCUCCCGUUGUAUUUGUCUUUGACGCCACCACGUGCGAGCAGCUGCGCGUCGUCAACACACGACUUUCGGUUGCCACGCCGAUUCACCUUUUGCCCGACGGGGAGGCGUUCGUUGCGGCCAUGGGCGCCCAGGCCGACUCCUUGCAUGGGAGUGCUUUGAUGGCGGCUUGUGCACCGCUGCCUCCGGCUACGGCAAAGCCUCUCCACUGUUCAACGUAGCGCGGAUGGCGUGGGCGGAGUCGCAGCAGCUCGCCGUCUUCGUCAGUCGUUCACCGUCCUCGGAGGGGGAGAUGGCACGCUAUACACAAGGGCCAAUGCAGCCGGCUGCUGGAGAGAGCGCAGCCGCUUUCCACUAUCGGCAGCAGGAGCAGCAGUACCGGCAGAGCGACAUACCGACCGAGGCAACGCUGAUCACGAUCGCAGGCACGGUUCGGCGCAAGUCGACUGUGCUUCUGAAGACAGACCCUCACUCCUCCGAUGCGUUUGUGACGAUGUUCGGCGGUGAUGUACAGCUGAAGCGAAAGGCGGCUUAUCUGGCGGAGCGGGAACGCGCAAUGCACCAGCGCGCGGCUGAGCGCGCUACGCGCAACGAGCGGCUGCACCCGAGAACCGCCUCGUCGGAGCUCUCGGCGCUGUUCGCGGCGCCGGUGGCUACCAGCAUCCCAUACGACGCGACGGAGAAGGGGGCGCGCAUGAACGCCAUCGUGAACUUCUGGCGUGGGCUUGUUAGUCAGCAUCGACGCACGGAAGCGCGCCCCCAGGAUUCCGAGGGAGUUUCCUCUAGCACCGACGCGUUUGGCACGCAUCCUGCAGCGUGGCGUGCGCUGCAGUACAUCGAGGAUGUUGCAGAUGCUCUAUGAGAGGAUGUGCACCUCCCCAUUCCCGUCCUUUUCACGUGCAUCUCCUGCUCUACACGGCGUGAGCGCAUCGCCUUCUGUGGCGCAUUGUUGAAGAGGAAAGUAGGCGGCGAUUCACUGUGCGCGACACGCGAUGGCCUGGGUCUGCUACAUAGAUGAUGUCCAUUCAAUG
rnacentral:misc_RNA from 1 species